rnacentral:rRNA from 1 species
GAUGAACGCUAGCGGCAGGCCUAAUACAUGCAAGCUGAACGGUAAAUAUUGUAGCAAUACAAUAUGAGAGUAGCGUAAGGGUGCGUAACACGUAUGCAAUCUGCCCUGUACAGGAGGAUAGCUCGGGGAAACCCGGAUUAAUACUCCGUAAUAUUAUUGGGAGGCAUCUCUUGAUAAUUAAAGUCGCAAGACGGUAUGGGAUGAGCAUGCGUCUGAUUAGCUAGUUGGUGGUGUAACGGACCACCAAGGCGAUGAUCAGUAGGGGAACUGAGAGGUUGAUCCCCCACACUGGCACUGAGAUACGGGCCAGACUCCUACGGGAGGCAGCAGUAGGGAAUAUUGGUCAAUGGAUGCAAGUCUGAACCAGCCAUGCCGCGUGCAGGAAGAAGGCCUUCUGGGUUGUAAACUGCUUUUGCCGGGGGAUAAAAAGUCCAUGCGUGGACGAUUGAAGGUACCCGGUGAAUAAGCCACGGCUAACUACGUG